CAAUAGCGUAUAUUAAAGUUGUUGCAGUUAAAAAGCUCAUAGUUGGAUUUCUGGUGGGAGCGAUCGGUCUGGCGCUUAGCGCGAGUACUUGCAUCGUCUCCGGCCAUCCUUGGGGAGAGUCUGUCUGGCAUUAGGUUGUCGGGCAGAGGAUCCUCAUCGUUUACUGUGAAAAAAUUAGAGUGUUCAAAGCAGGCUUAUGCCGUUGAAUAUAUUAGCAUGGAAUAAUAAGAUAGGACUUUGGUACUAUUUUGUUGGUUUGCGCACCAAAGUAAUGAUUAAUAGGGACAGUUGGGGGUAUUCGUAUUCCGUUGUCAGAGGUGAAAUUCUUGGAUUUACGGAAGACGAACUACUGCGAAAGCAUUUACCAAGGAUGUUUUCAUUAA
rnacentral:rRNA from 1 species